GAGUUUGAUCCUGGCUCAGAUUGAACGCUGGCGGCAGGCCUAACACAUGCAAGUCGAGCGGAAACGAGUUAACUGAACCUUCGGGGAACGUUAACGGCGUCGAGCGGCGGACGGGUGAGUAAUGCCUGGGAAAUUGCCCUGAUGUGGGGGAUAACCAUUGGAAACGAUGGCUAAUACCGCAUAAUAGCUUCGGCUCAAAGAGGGGGACCUUCGGGCCUCUCGCGUCAGGAUAUGCCCAGGUGGGAUUAGCUAGUUGGUGAGGUAAUGGCUCACCAAGGCGACGAUCCCUAGCUGGUCUGAGAGGAUGAUCAGCCACACUGGAACUGAGACACGGUCCAGACUCCUACGGGAGGCAGCAGUGGGGAAUAUUGCACAAUGGGCGCAAGCCUGAUGCAGCCAUGCCGCGUGUAUGAAGAAGGCCUUCGGGUUGUAAAGUACUUUCAGCAGUGAGGAAGGUGGGUAUGUUAAUAGCAUAUUCAUUUGACGUUAGCUGCAGAAGAAGCACCGGCUAACUCCGUGCCAGCAGCCGCGGUAAUACGGAGGGUGCGAGCGUUAAUCGGAAUUACUGGGCGUAAAGCGCAUGCAGGUGGUUUGUUAAGUCAGAUGUGAAAGCCCGGGGCUCAACCUCGGAAUUGCAUUUGAAACUGGCAAACUAGAGUACUGUAGAGGGGGGUAGAAUUUCAGGUGUAGCGGUGAAAUGCGUAGAGAUCUGAAGGAAUACCGGUGGCGAAGGCGGCCCCCUGGACAGAUACUGACACUCAGAUGCGAAAGCGUGGGGAGCAAACAGGAUUAGAUACCCUGGUAGUCCACGCCGUAAACGAUGUCUACUUGGAGGUUGUGGCCUUGAGCCGUGGCUUUCGGAGCUAACGCGUUAAGUAGACCGCCUGGGGGAGUACGGUCGCAAGAUUAAAACUCAAAUGAAUUGACGGGGGGCCCGCACAAGCGGUGGAGCAUGUGGUUUAAUUCGAUGCAACGCGAAAAACCUUACCUACUCUUGACAUCUACAGAAAGCCAGCGGAAGACGCAGGGGGUGCCUUCGGGAACCUUGUUAAGAAACAGGGGGGCCUGCCAAUGGGGGCCUUG
rnacentral:rRNA from 1 species